CACGUCGGGCGCAAGCGUUGUCCGGAAUUAUUGGGCGUAAAGAGCUCGUAGGCGGUCUGCUGCGUCCGCUGUGAAAACUCGGGGCUUAACCCCGAGCCUGCAGUGGAUACGGGCAGACUAGAGGUAGGUAGGGGAGAAUGGAAUUCCCGGUGUAGCGGUGAAAUGCGCAGAUAUCGGGAGGAACACCGGUGGCGAAGGCGGUUCUCUGGGCCUGUACUGACGCUGAGGAGCGAAAGCGUGGGGAGCGAACAGG
rnacentral:rRNA from 1 species